rnacentral:rRNA from 1 species
UGGGGAAUAUUGCACAAUGGGGGAAACCCUGAUGCAGCGACGCCGCGUGAGCGAUGAAGGCUUUCGAGUCGUAAAGCUCUGUCCUAUGGGAAGAUAAUGACGGUACCAUAGAAGAAAGCCCCGGCUAAUUACGUGCCAGCAGCCGCGGUAAUACGUAAGGGGCGAGCGUUGUCCGGAUUUAUUGGGCGUAAAGCGAGCGCAGGCGGUUAGAAAAGUCUGAAGUGAAAGGCAGUGGCUCAACCAUUGUAGGCUUUGGAAACUGUUUAACUUGAGUGCAGAAGGGGAGAGUGGAAUUCCAUGUGUAGCGGUGAAAUGCGUAGAUAUAUGGAGGAACACCGGUGGCGAAAGCGGCUCUCUGGUCUGUAACUGACGCUGAGGCUCGAAAGCGUGGGGAGCGAACAGG